AUCGGUGUACAUGUUCUUUCUGUUGAGGUUUAACCGAGGCGCGACUAUUGCUUAUUGAAAACUUUUCCCAAUAUCCCGCUAUGACGACUUGAAAUAUAGUCGGCAAUGGCAAUUUUUGAUAGUCUCUGUGGAGA